AUUGAACGCUGGCGGCAGGCCUAACACAUGCAAGUCGAACGAGUGGCGGACGGGUGUGGAAUGUCUGGGAAAAUGUCCGUUGGAGGGGGAUAACUAUUGGAAACGGUAGCUAAUACCGCAUAUCAUCGGAGGUGCCCAGAUGGGAGUAGCUUGACGGUGAGGUAUCGGCUCACCUAGGCGACGAUCCCUAGCUGGUCUGAGAGGAUGACCAGCCAAACUGGAACUGAGACACGGUCCAGACUCCUACGGGAGGCAGCAGUGGGGAAUAUUGCACAAUGGGCGCAAGCCUGAUGCAGCCAUGCCGCGUGUAUGAAGAAGGCCUUCGGGUUGUAAAGUACUUUCAGCGGGGAGGCGUUACCCGCAGAAGAAGCACCGGCUAACUCCGUGCCAGCAGCCGCGGUAAUAC
rnacentral:rRNA from 1 species